AUUCGCUCUCAAAUCAGGUGAGACUACCCGCUGAACUUAAGCAUAUCACUAAGCGGAGGAAAAGAAACUAACCAGGAUUCCCCCAGUAACGGCGAGUGAACAGGGAAGAGCUCAAGCCUAAAAUCCUUCGGGAAUUGUAGUCUAUAGUUACAAGGUUGCAUUACCCCGGGUAGAAAUCCGUUCUUGGAACUGGGUGCCAGAGAGGGUUAGAGCCCCGUCUUUGACUCGGUCAGGUGUGCGUGAUAACCUUGUAUCAGUGAGUCGGCUUGCUUGGGAAUGCAGGCCAAAGUGGGUGGUAAACUCCAUCUAAAGCUAAAUAUUGGCGAGAGACCGAUAGCGAACAAGUACUGUGAAGGAAAGAUGGAAAGAACUUUGAAAAGAGAGUGAAAAAGGGCUUGAAAUUGUUGAGAGGAGAAGUGAUUGGAGCCUAUCCUGCGUUAAGAGAUCCAGGAGCGGGCGCUUGCGACCGCUUUGAUCAUGUCUUGGCGCUGGCCAACAUCGGUUCUCCGUGGGGGACAAGGCUUGGAGGGCCUUCGGGGCUCCUUGCGCAUGACCUGUGGAGGACCGAGGCACAAAGAGCACGCCUAGCGGCCGGCCCAUUCUACUUGGAUUUUACAUGAAAUCACACCACGGUGUGCCUAGUGUUCUUUCUUUGAUAGCGUGGAGCGCUGGACCUGUGCUCUGAAGAUGUUGGCACAAUGGCUUCAACCAGCCCGUCUUGAAACACGGACCAAGGAGUCUAACACGUAUGCGAGUAGUAAGGUGGCAAACCUUGGAUGCGAAAUGAAAGUGAAAUUGGUGGGAUCCCGCAAGGGUGCACCAUCGACCGGCCAGGAUCUAUUGUGAUUGGUUUGAGUAAGAGCAUAUUUGUUGGGACCCGAAAGAUGGUGAACUAUGCCUGAAUAGGGUGAAGCCAGAGGAAACUCUGGUGGAGGCUCGUAGCGGUACUGACGUGCAAAUCGUUCGUCAAAUUUGGGUAUAGGGGCGAAAGACUAAUCGAACCAUCUAGUAGCUGGUUCCCUCCGAAGUUUCCCUCAGGAUAGCUGGAGCUCGCACAAGUUUU
rnacentral:rRNA from 1 species